rnacentral:tRNA from 1 species
GAAAAUCCGUUGACUUUAA